UGAAAGCCUAUGGCUGAUUGUUCCUUAGCUGAGACUUGUCUGUUAGUUGCCCUGAGGUUGCAUCAGUUCCAGAGACUCUUGGAUCCUGUAGGCCAGGACACAUCAGUGUUACAUGAGAUUCUUUCAAAGGUGGUGCUCUAGUUGGUUCCAAAUAUUAUUGCUUAUAGAAAAUUCUCUAGAAAGAAUGGAGACUGGCACAUAGGCCUGGCAGGACAGGCUGUACUGAUAAAGGUUAAAAACCAUAAAUUUUCAAUCUGCUUCUGCAACAGGUGUUAAAUUUCAGUUGAAGUGGGAGAUUGUACCUCAUGCUGGGUCCUAGGAAGAGAUACUCCAGAGGCCCUAAUCCGGGGUGAAAAAGAAGGUAGUAGGAGUGGGAACAAGGAUUGAAGGUGGGCCUGAGGUAGGGGCUGGGAAUGAAACAGAGUUCAAGAUUGGGGAAACAGUGGGGAAUCUAACUUGCAUUUGAACUGGGGGGUGAAGGAAUGGAUAUUAGAGAAUCCACUGAAUAAAACAAAUGGAGACUCCAGUAGGGAGUAACCACCAGAAACCAGGACAGUAGCCACAAGGGACUUACUGUGAAAAGAGGGGAGGCCCUAGAAGAGCUGGCUCCACUUACGCUGCAACUGGUCCCCCUAGGUUUGGUGAUAUGGGAGCUGCCGAAGACUGUACAGUUGCUCUGGUUUGUCGUCAGUGCUCCACAAUGGUUGGGAGCAUAUCAGCAAGUGACUCCAAAAUAGUCCCAGAAGAAUAUGUAUAUGUAUAUACAUGCCCUCCACAAAGAUUGGGAGACUCAUUAGUUCCAGUGAUUUAAUGAAACCUCUGUUCAGUAAUUAACCAACCACUAAGCUAACCAAGCAGAGACUUCAGUGGCCACAAACAACAAAGAAUAUAGACUUUACAGAUUUAGUUCAGAAAAGUAAUUAUGCAACAACAACAAACUCUGGAGAAAGUAAGAUUUCUAGAGUUGCCACAUUAUAUUAUUUAAAAUGUCCAAUUUUCAACAAAAACUACAAAACAUGCAAAGAAACAAAAAAGUGUGGCCCGUAUACAUACACAAGGGGGGGAAGCAAUCAAUAAAAAGUGACCCUGAGGAAGCCCAGACAUUGGACUUACUAGACAAAGACUUUAAAUCAGCUAUGUAUGUGCAAUGUAAAGAAAACUGUCUUAAAAAGCUAAUGGAAAGUAUGAAAAUGACAGCUCACCAAAUAGAUAAUACCAAUAGGAAAUAGAAAUUACUUUUUAAAAUAUAACCAAAUGGAAACUUGGAGUUGAAAAGUCCAAUAACUGAAAUAAAAAUUUCAAUAGGAGCUCAAGAGCAGGUCUGAGCAGGUGGAAGAAAAAUCAGCAAAUUUGAAGAUAAGUCAAUUGAGAUUAUCCAAUGCAAGGAACAGAAAGAAAAAAUAAUAAAGAAAAAUGGACAGAGCCUAGGAGACACCUAGCCUGUGGGACGCCAUCAAGCAUAACAAUAACAGAUAAUGGGAAUCCCAGAAAGAAAGAAGAG
rnacentral:lncRNA from 1 species